CUUCACAUGGUAUUCUUCCUGUGUGCGUGCCUGUGUCCAAAUUUCCCCUUAACAUAAGGACACCAAUCAUAUUGGAGUAGGGUGGGUCCCAUCUUAACCUAACUAAUUACAUCUGCAAUGACCCUUUUUUUCCAAAUAAGAGCAGAUUGUGAGUUACCGGGGGUUAGGACUUUAACAUAAGAAUUUGGCAGGGGCAUCAUACAACCCAUAACAAGACCAUAAUACAAUAUUUCCCGAGUAAAUUCAAUACCCUGAAUGUACACAUAACAACAAGAGAAGAGAUCUGUAAAUGGAUCCAAAUUUGUAGAAAAUUGGCUAAAGCAGAAUAUUGUAAUGAUUUCAAUACCAAUUACAUUAUACCUAACAUCUCUUACUAGCCACAAUUUUAAUUUCACUUAGCUUUUCUGAGUUUCAUGAGAUGAACCAGCGUAUUUAAUAUAGAAAAAGAAUGAAAACUAAAUGAUUAAGAAUUAUAUUUCAUAGGAGAAGAGAAAGAGCUAUUAAAAUUUAAAACACGUUAAAGCAAAAGUAUCAAUAUAUCUACAUAAUAACAUAAACGUAUUUCUGCAUCCAUUGCCAAAUAUCUAUGACAAGUGAAUGCUGCAUUUCAUAAAACUUAGUUUAAAAACACAUCACCUCAACUACAGCACCGUCAUUCAGACACCUCUCAACACAUUUUAUCUCAGCAUUAUAGCGUCCCAGGUGGUCACAAGACGGUUUGAAUGUGUGAGGGAAAGUUAACUUGGUUUUCACCGUGAGAAAAAGAACUGUUAGUUGUCUUUAAUUUGAGAGGAUGUUCUCUAAAAUAAAAACAUACAUCCCAUAGAGGUGUUAAAAACUGCCUGUUUUCUAUAAAUCUUCUAAAAGUUUCUGUUACUGUAGAUAUGUAAAGCGAGAGUUUUGAAUUUUGUUCCACUGAUUAUUAGGCCCAAUAGGAAUACAGCUGUCACCUUUCCAUAAAAUGAUACAAGGUGCAAUAAAUCUUCCCUGGUAAUAACAUCCAGGGACAAACUUUUGUUGAACACGUCUUAGAGUCUGACCUCUGUGAAGUCAAGAAAACAUCUAAUGCUCUGUGGGAACGGUUCCUGCCAACCUAAGUUCAACACUUCUCUGAGACCAGUAUAAGAAGAAGGCUCUGAAAUGACAUGUGGAGUAAAUUCUAGACUUUAAAGACAUGCAAUUAAGACACAUUUAAAUGUGGCAACUAAAAAUAAUUUACUAAAAGCAUAUGAUCAGGUGUUUUCAUUUAUUUCAAGAUUACACAUAUAUGAUAAUAGAAUACACGUUAUUUUAACACAAGCUAAACCAAAGGCCUCCUUACAAAAACGUAGUUAAAAGUUUUUGGACAACUUGAUGAAUCUGUUACACAGGGAUGAAUUGCUUUUUCAGAAAAGAUUCACUUUGCACAGUUUUCUCUGGGCAUGUAUUCAUGCUUUUCAUUUUCUCAUUAAAUUCAUCUAGCAGAAUUAAGAACACGAAUGCAAAAUCUGGGGCAAACAAACAAAUUUGCUUGUACUAGAGUAGAAACUAGAGAGAAAGCAACCAUGGGAGAUGGCCAGAGCAGGGGAAUGAAGAGAGCAGAAAGAAGACUGAAAUUUUGCAAACCAAAGCUCAUCCAAAUACACUAGCCUAAAAUUGAUAAAUUCUCUCCCGUUACCUUCCCAAUCUGAUGUUCUACUCUGGAGAGUGGUUUAUAGGAAAUGCGAAUGAGAUAAUAAAAACCCUUCAUUUAUUUCUUUAACUUUUAGAAGGAACCAAUGUGCCAUCUUUUAAUGACCUACGCAGUUGCUUCUAGGCCUCAGCACACAGAAUCUCUUCAGCAAACGUGUCCUCCAGAUACCAUUCCCCUCUCAACAGCCACCCUUAUUUACUGCUUCAUAACCUCCAUCUUCCAACAGUUGGUGGGAGCAGAAAAAACAUGAAAGAGAAAAGAAGACAGUUGGCUUCCGUGGAAAAAACACUAGAUCUGGGAGUCCAAUCCAGUGGUAUGCUAGAGUAGACUUAUACACGUCAUUACAUUGUCAUGUGUCAUGCCAUUACAUUGGCAACAGCAUGAAAAAACUGAGGGAGUAAUUUUCCAGUAUUUGAAAACUGUUACCCAUUUCAGCAAAGAAUCUGCCAUGGGUUGGAGGAGGUCAUUGAGAGGUUGUGACCCAGCUGACCCUCAAGCUGGAGCAGGACAACUGGAGGCAUGUCACCCCCUCCCCUGUCCUUGACAUGUAAUUUCCGCCCACCGUUCCCACAGUGGGAGCCGCUUCAUAAGAUAUGUUUUGUCUGAGAUCCAAUUAUUAAGUGUUUACCGCCACCCCACUUUUCUACCAUCCAGAAACUAUUGACUCAAAAAAUUGUUUACAAGUAUUGCCUUCCUCAUCUGCAAACUAGUGAAAUGGGUGCCUUCCUCAGAGGAUAAUUUUAGGGGUAAAUUAAAAUAAUCUUUAUGCAAAAACCCUGUAGGGAUUUCAAAAGUUAAUGUUCAUAAAUUCAGCAAAUAUGUUUCAGCUCCUAAUAUGAGCUCUCCUAAGGACGUGCAGGGUUUGGAAAGAUGAACAAUGUUUGAUCCUGAUCCUCAGGUAGCUUUCAGUCCAGUGAUAAAGGUAAGUGUAAAUAACUUAAAAUGAUCUAAGAACACGAAAUGUGUUAUAACAGGAAAAAGGAAAGUGCUAUGAAAUUAAAGGAAAAGAAGCACGUGAUUUUACUUGGAGCAUCAGGGAAGACUCCGUAAAGAUGGAAUUUGGGGUUAAGCUUUGGAAAGUAAGUUACAUUCGUAUCAAUUGAGAAGGUGUAUGUGAAAAGUGGACAGAUGAAACACCAAACACAUUAUCAUCACAAAUAUUAUAAUACCAACUAGCUGCUGCAUCAAAAACCCCUACACAUUAUUUCCAUGUAAAACAGAAAGAAUUAUGCCAUUAUAGUUUAUACAAUCCGGUGUGCCUAUCUACAAUCUUGCAUAUUCGAGGGUUGACUAAAUAUUUAGUUUUUCCAAUUUAUAAGCCAUUUCUAAUAAGCAAAAUUGUAGAUUAUCCUUUGGCUUUCUUUCCUUAGUGAAAGAAAACAUUCAUGCUCAAGUGAAUUUUUAAAUUAUUUUUCAAGACAACUCUAUAAAAUAUGUCCUAUUUAGAAGGACAGAAGGGACUGUCCCAUAGAUCUAAAGAAAAGUAGCCACUGAUUUAAAAUCUAUAAAUACAUAAAUUAUGGACACGUUAAGAAUGAAGAGCACAUCUAAAGUGAGGUUUUUAUGGGAGAAGGGAACACUGUGGCAAGUGAAAAGUGAAACCUUUUAAAACAUUCAUGGGAACAAGGACUAACUACCAAAGAAAGAGCAUUAUUUCAUCCCUCAGUUAAGGAGUCUUGCAAGGGUUGACACCCAGUAAAGCUCACUGAAAAGCCUUUUCCUCUUGCUAGUUAAAAUACGCUAGUUAAUGUUCGUGACUUUAGAAAACAAACAACACAGAAAAAAGCUUGGCAAAGCAUCUACAGAAUCUGUCUUAAGUGUAAUAAAAGGGAGUUUAUUAAUCUCUCACACACAAAAGUCUGACACAAAAGGUCUACGGCCUUGACCUCAAGUGACUAUGGAUUAGACCACAGGGCCAGUCUAGGUCCCAAUAGGACAUAUGGUAAGAGAAGCAUUCGCUCCACACCGAAAGCCCUUUUACUGUCCACUCUGAUCUCUUCCCAUUCCACUCUGAACUUCCCAUUACAGGCACUCCCUCGGCAAGCUACCGCGCCAACGGAGCCUUUCAGAACGUUCUCUCCCCGAUGAAAGCCGUCAGUCUGUCGCUAUCUAAACGUGGAGCAUUUCAACAAAAUUUAAAGAGAAACUGGAAGGGUAGGGGUUGGAAUACUGUUUAAAAACACAGCCAGACCUCCUUGCUGGAGCUCCAAGACUCCUCAACAACCACCUUGCAACCUGCUGAAGCCUAUAAGAUGGGUACCAUGAGCAUCCCCACUGAAAAGAUGUGGAAAUGGGAACAGCAAGUCCCAUGGCUACUAAACGGAUGAAGAGGAAUGCAAAGCUGGGUAAUCUGCCUCAAGAGCUCCUUGAUUAUACAUUCACCAUGCUGCCUCUGAAAUUUAGGACACAGUUACACCUGCAAAAGAAGUAACAUACGGAACCCUGUGAAUUAGGCUGACUUCAUCCUGGAAUCACAGCGGGGCUUAAGGUCCCAGACCGCCAGCAGUAUGGAGAAUGGAGCCAGUAGAGGUGAUUUCUCCAUUUUUGCCUCUUCGUGAGCCUCACCAGCCCAGGCAUGAUGCUCUUUUCCACCUCCUAGGACUUCCCACUCUGACACAGGUCACCCAGUGGCAGAACCUACUCCUCCACACAUCCAUCAGGGGCUCUGUCAACAGCCCCUGAAGCAGGUGCAGACCUGGAAGACUCCGUUUCGUGGUCUGGCACUUCGGCUCCACACUCAUUUUCUACCUUGCUGCUGCAGCUACUGUUCUCCCUUGUGCUCUCUGAAACCACUGCUGACAGAUCCUGAGUGGCCCCUGGCAAAUAGGUAUUCUCAUUAGUGUAAUGUGUCAGUUAAGAGAACCCAGUUACACUAAUUUUCCUCUUUGGGGAUAUUGUGGGACAUCAGUUAUUAUUUCCUGAUUGUUCUAAUUCAGUAGUUUAGUCUAUUGCAAGGGAUUACAUCAAAGAAUGUUUGUCUUCCCAAAAGCAUUAUUGCCAUUUUUGAUCUACAAAAAGUAUUCUAUAUUAAUUUGGUUUUGAUCUAAAAAAGGUAUUCUAUAUUAAACUGGGAGAGUAAAGAAUAAAUGCUCAUAGAUAAA